AUUGAACGCUGGCGGCAUGCCUUACACAUGCAAGUCGAACGGUAACAGGUUAAGCUGACGAGUGGCGAACGGGUGAGUAAUGUAUCGGAACGUGCCCAGUCGUGGGGGAUAACUGAUCGAAAGAGAAGCUAAUACAGCAUACUACCUGAGGGUGAAAGCGGGGGAUCGCACGACCUCGCGCGAUUGGAGCGUCCCAUAUCAGAUUAGGUAGUUGGUGGGGUAAAGGCCUACCAAGCCGACGAUCUGUAGCUGGUCUGAGAGGACGACCAGCCACACUGGGACUGAGACACGGCCCAGACUCCUACGGGAGGCAGCAGUGGGGAAUUUUGGACAAUGGACGCAAGUCUGAUCCAGCCAUGCCGCGUGCGGGAAGAAGGCCUUCGGGUUGUAAACCGCUUUUGUCAGGGAAGAAAAGGGUGUUUCUAAUAAAGACGCCUCAUGACGGUACCUGAAUAAUAAGCACCGGCUAACUACGUGCCAGCAGCCGCGGUAAUAC
rnacentral:rRNA from 1 species